GCUGGGCGUGGUGGCUCACGCCUGUAAUCCCAGCAUUUUGGGAGGCUGAGGCGGGUGAAUCACCUGAGGUCAGGAGUUCAAGACCAGCCUGACCAACAUGGUGAAACCCCAUCUUUA
ensembl:misc_RNA Metazoa_SRP Metazoan signal recognition particle RNA